rnacentral:rRNA from 1 species
GCAAAACGCGAAGAACCUUACCAGGUCUUGACAUCCUCUGACCUCCCUGGAGACAGGGCCUUCCCCUUCGGGGGACAGAGUGACAGGUGGUGCAUGGUUGUCGUCAGCUCGUGUCGUGAGAUGUUGGGUUAAGUCCCGCAACGAGCGCAACCCUUGACCUUAGUUGCCAGCAUUCAGUUGGGCACUCUAAGGUGACUGCCGGUGACAAACCGGAGGAAGGUGGGGAUGACGUCAAAUCAUCAUGCCCCUUAUGACCUGGGCUACACACGUGCUACAAUGGAUGGUACAAAGGGCUGCGAGACCGCGAGGUUAAGCCAAUCCCAGAAAACCAUUCCCAGUUCGGAUUGCAGGCUGCAACCCGCCUGCAUGAAGCCGGAAUCGCUAGUAAUCGCGGAUCAGCAUGCCGCGGUGAAUACGUUCCCGGGUCUUGUACCACA